rnacentral:ncRNA from 2 species
UGUAAAAGCUAGGGGUGCCGAAAGGCUGAGAAAGAGCAAUGCUCUUGACCCUUUGAACCUGAUGCGGUUAAUGCCGACGUAGGGAAGCUUAAGAAGAUUUAU